rnacentral:rRNA from 1 species
AACGAACGCUGGCGGCAGGCCUAACACAUGCAAGUCGAGCGAGGACUUCGGUUCUAGCGGCGGACGGGUGAGUAACGCGUGGGAAUGUGCCCUUCUCUACGGAAUAGCCCUGGGAAACUGGGAGUAAUACCGUAUACGCCCUAUUGGGGAAAGAUUUAUCGGAGAAGGAUCAGCCCGCGUUGGAUUAGGUAGUUGGUGGGGUAAUGGCCUACCAAGCCGACGAUCCAUAGCUGGUUUGAGAGGAUGAUCAGCCACACUGGGACUGAGACACGGCCCAGACUCCUACGGGAGACAGCAGUGGGGAAUCUUAGACAAUGGGGGCAACCCUGAUCUAGCCAUGCCGCGUGAGUGAUGAAGGCCUUAGGGUUGUAAAGCUCUUUCAGCUGGGAAGAUAAUGACGGUACCAGCAGAAGAAGCCCCGGCUAACUCCGUG